rnacentral:rRNA from 1 species
CCACUGGAAACGGUGGCUAAUACCCGAUGGUCUCGAUAAUUCGGUUUAUCGAGUAAAGGCUCCGGCGCUUUGAGAGGGACCUGCGGCCCAUCAGCUAGUUGGUAGGGUAAUGGCCUACCAAGGCAAAGACGGGUAGGGGGCGUGAGAGCGUGACCCCCCACACUGGCACUGGGACACGGGCCAGACUCCUACGGGAGGCAGCAGUGAGGAAUAUUGCGCAAUGAGCGAAAGCUAGACGCAGCAACGCCGCGUGGGUGAUGAAGGCCUUCGGGUCGUAAAACCCUUUUCUGGGGGAAGAGUAAGGACGGUACCCCAGGAAUAAGCCUCGGCUAACUAUGUGCCAGCAGCCGCGGUAAUACAUAGGAGGCAAGCGUUAUCCGGAUUUACUGGGCGUAAAGAGCGUUGAGGCGGCUUCGUAAGUUGGACGUGAAAGCUCCCGGCUUAACUGGGAGAGGCCGUUCAAUACUGCGGGGCUUGAGGACAGCAGAGGGGGGUGGAAUUUCCGGUGUAGUGGUGAAAUGCGUAGAUAUCGGAAGGAACACCAGUGGCGAAGGCGGCCCCCUGGGCUGCUCCUGACGCUGAAGGCGAAAGCUAGGGUAGCGAACGGGAUUAGAAACCCCGGUAGUCCUAGCCGUAAACGAUGGAUACUAGGUGUAGGAGGUUAAAAUUCCUUCUGUGCCGGAGCUAACGCGUUAAGUAUCCCGCCUGGGGAGUACGGUCGCAAGGCUUAAAACUUCAAAGGAAUUGACGGGGGCCCGCACAAGCAGCGGAGCGUGUGGUUUAAUUCGAUGCAACGCGAAGAACCUUACCAGGGCUUUGACAUGUAGGUAGUAGUGAAGCGAAAGCGGAACGAUCCUUCGGGAAGCCUACACAGGUGCUGCAUGGCUGUCGUCAGCUCGUGCCGUGAGGUGUUAGGUUAAGUCCUGCAACGAGCGCAACCCCUGCCGUUAGUUACAAGUGUCUAACGGGACUGCCCGGCAAAACUGGGAGGAAGGUGGGGAUGACGUCAAGUCAGCAUGGCCUUUAUGUCCUGGGCUACACACACGCUACAAUGGCCGGUACAAUGGGUUGCCAAGCCGCGAGGCGGAGCCAAUCCUCUAAAGCCGGUCUCAGUUCGGAUUGUAGGCUGCAACCCGCCUGCAUGAAGUUGGAGUU